UCGGGAUAGCAGGAUUUGAACCUGCGGCAUCCUGCUCCCAAAGCAGGCGCGCUACCAAACUGCGCUAUAUCCCG
rnacentral:tRNA from 1 species